UAGGGAAUAUUAGUAAUGGGCGAAAGCCUGAACCAGCAACGCCGCGUGCGCGAUGAAGGCCUUCGGGUUGUAAAGCGCUUUUUGAGAGGAUGAGGAAGGACAGUACUCUUAGAAUAAGCCUCGGCUAACUACGUGCCAGCAGCCGCGGUAAAACGUAGGAGGCGAGCGUUAUCCGGAUUUACUGGGCGUAAAGCGUGUGUAGGCGGUUUGAUAAGUUGGAUGUGAAAGCUCCUGGCUUAACUGGGAGAGGUCGUUCAAAACUAUCAGACUUGAGAGUGGUAGAGGGAGGUGGAAUUCCGCAUGUAGUGGUGAAAUGCGUAGAUAUGCGGAGGAACACCAGUGGCGAAAGCGGCCUCCUGGCCCAUUUCUGACGCUCAGACACGAAAGCUAAGGUAGCAAACG
rnacentral:rRNA from 1 species